CCUACGUGGAGCUGCAGUCGAGAAUCAUUCACAAUGGGGGAAACCCUGAUGGUGCGACUCCGCGUGGGGGAAUGAAGGUCUUCGGAUUGUAAAACCCUGUCAUGUGGGAGCAAAUUAAAAAGAUAGUACCACAAGAGGAAGAGACGGCUAAGUCUGUGCCAGCAGCAGCGGAAAUACAGUGUGCUCAAGCGUUGUUAGGAAUCACGGGGCGUAAAGCGUGCGGAGGCUGUUUCGUAAGUCGUGUGUGAAAGGCGCGGGCUCAACCCGCGGACGGAACAUGAUACUGCGAGACUAGAGUAAUGGAGGGGGAACCGGAAUUCUCGGUGUAGCAGUGAAAUGCGUAGAUAUCGAGAGGAACACUCGUGGCGAAGGCGGGUUCCUGGACAUUAACUGACGCUGAGGCACGAAGGCCAGGGGAGCGAAAGGGAUUAGAUACCCCGGUAGUC
rnacentral:rRNA from 1 species